UUUAAUGAGAGUUUGAUCCUGGCUCAGGACGAACGCUGGCGGCGUGCCUAAUACAUGCAAGUAGAACGCUGAGGUUUGGUGUUUACACUAGACUGAUGAGUUGCGAACGGGUGAGUAACGCGUAGGUAACCUGCCUCAUAGCGGGGGAUAACUAUUGGAAACGAUAGCUAAUACCGCAUAAGAGUAA
rnacentral:rRNA from 1 species